rnacentral:rRNA from 1 species
GGCGAGUGAAGCGGCAAGAGCUCAAAUUUGAAAUCUGGCCCCUUUGGGGUCCGAGUUGUAAUUUGCAGAGGAUGCUUCGGGUGCGGUCCCCGUCUAAGUGCCCUGGAACGGGCCGUCAUAGAGGGUGAGAAUCCCGUCUGGGAUGGGCGGCCGCGCCCGUGUGAAGCUCCUUCGACGAGUCGAGUUGUUUGGGAAUGCAGCUCUAAGCGGGUGGUAAAUUUCAUCUAAAGCUAAAUACUGGCCGGAGACCGAUAGCGCACAAGUAGAGUGAUCGAAAGAUGAAAAGCACUUUGAAAAGAGAGUUAAACAGCACGUGAAAUUGUUGAAAGGGAAGCGUUGUCCACCAGACUCGCCCGGGGGGGUUCAGCCGGCACGUGUGCCGGUGUACUCCUCUCCGGGCGGGCCAGCAUCGGUUUGGGCGGCUGGUGAAAGGCCCCGGGAAUGUGCCACCCUUCGGGGUGCCUUAUAGCCCGGGGUGCCAUGCAGCCAGCCUGGACCGAGGCCC